rnacentral:rRNA from 1 species
CAUCGUCAACGUAUUUGGUAUUAAUGCAAGUUAUGAUGUGAAUUAUUUGCUCUUUCGGGAACAAUGUUUAUACAUAUUUGUAUUAUUUUAUUGCUAAAUAUCGUCGGCGUGCACUUCUCCCCUAGUAGAACGUCGUGACCCGUUGGGUGUUGAUCUACGGCCCAGUUGACAGUCUUUGAUAACGCUUUAAUCGGCGAUUAUUAUUAAAAAUCACUGGUGUAUCCUGAUCAUCUGCCCGGCGGUAUUCGUACGAUAUUGAGCCGCAAAAUAUUAUAUAAUUUGCGUUAAACCCGUCACAAGCCCAGAUAAUUUACGGUAGUUAUGGACCUAGUGCCAUCGCUGUAAUUAUCUAGCUGUUGGUUGUUGCGGUGUUCUUUAACUGGCUCAAAUAAAUUAUCGGUCGGCGACGCUACUGCUUUGGGUACUUUCAGGACCCGUCUUGAAACACGGACCAAGGAGUCUAACAUGUACGCAAGUCAUUGGGAUUUAUUUUUUUAAAUUAAAUCAAACCUAAAGGCAUAAUGAAAGUAAAAGUCGUCCUUGCGUCGACCGAGGGAAGAUGGGUUACGUUACGAUGUAAUCUCGCACUCCCGGGGCGUCUCAUUCUCAUU